AGAACAAGCCUGGACCUUUCCUUGGUUCUACUUCGGCUCCGUAACUAUCUUUUUUCCUCUCCUAUCGCUUGACUAAGAUCGAUCUAAUGUGUACUGUUUCCAUGUCUGGGACAGGAGGAGGAAGGAAGAUGAAGCGACACCUAACAGUGGAAGUUGGCCUCCAGAACGAAGAAGGAGAUGGUGGGUUGCAGAAGCUCACGAUGCCUGUAACUUAUAUUAAUCAUCCAUACUUUGCUGGUCUUCUCGACAGGGCCAAGAAGGUCUACGGCUACCGCUCCGGUGCCCCAGUUCCACUGAAGCUUCCUUGCACGGUGGAGGAGUUCAUCCAUGUCAAGUCGCUCGUCGAGCGCGAGUCCAGUGGCAGUCAGUAGUCCUUCUCCUUGUCUCCUUGCCUUGGACAUAAAAAUGGGCAUAUGUUAGCUGGAAUCAUCAUUUCCAUAGCUCAGAUGCAGUCAUGAGGUCUGCCAGUAUGUGUGAGCUGGAUGCAUCAGUUCUGCUACAUCUGUGAUCUCCCCAUUGGACUCCUGGAAGAAACUGUACCUGACUCCCAAGAAUUCCUCCACCUUGUCACCAAAACAUGGCUUGCCUCUAUUUAUACAAUUGUGAAGCCCAAUGACACCACCAAAGAUAGAUAGUCUAUGAGAAUGGAUAGGAUUUAGUAGAAGAAUACCCUAAGCUACAUAAAAAUCUGAUUGUGAUCUAUCUAUCUAUCUAUCUAUCUAUCUAUCUAUCUAUACAUCUGCUACAAUGGCCUACGUGAAUAAAACACAUGGUGUGUGCCAUGUGACAGACAGGUAUGGAGUCAACGACAUCAUUGGCUCUUGGAAUCCUACAAGCAGCAAUGUUCAGACGGGAGCGUUGGUGGUAGAUCUUUGCAUGGGUAGUUAAGCUAUCACCAAACCUGCAACAAUGUAAACGGGAAACGCGCGCCUCUCAACGUGAGGUCACAAACCUUCUCCAUGCACCCAAAGUAACGCAAACCUUCUCCAUGUAUUUUAUUCAUANNNNNNNNNNNNNNNNNNNNCUAGAUAGAUAGAUAUAUGGGAGAAAAAGUAGUUAGUUCAUCUGUCUGCAAGUCUGUCUAAAACUAAGGCUUUGUUUGUUUGAACAGAGAAAGAAAGAUCUACUAAACCAUGGAGAAGGUUUGCGUUACUUUGGGUUCAUGGAGAAGGUUUGUGACCUCACGUUGAGAGGCGCGCGUUUCCCGUUUACAUUGUUGCAGGUUUGGUGAAACAUUGGGGUUUCAACACUUGCUCUAAAUUCUCUUGACUUUUCUGAUCACAAGAUCGAGAAGGAAACAAAGAAGCAGACCUCUUAAUAGUUCAAGAUACAAUUGCCAAGAUAUAAAUAGGAAAAGAAAAGAAAACACUGCAAUCUCAGAUGACACAUCAAGAAAGUUUUCCUAAAUUAAUGUUACUAGAUUGUUUGGGGAAGGAGGAUAAUCUAUGACAUAAGAACCACACACAAUUAGGAAUAAAGAACCUUUUCCCUUCUCUCAGGUUUCCCAACUGAUAUGCCCAACUCUCUGGGAAUUCCUAUCUGCUAUGCUUGAUUAUGAAGUUGAUGUCAUGUCUAGAGAGGAGCAUUUGCAUGACCUGCAAGCUACCUAACCUUUUUAUUUUUAUUAUAUCAAGCAGUAGUGCUUCUUUCUUUAGUGCCCAACUCCUGGCUUUUGUUUCCUUUGAAAUUAAAGAAAAAGAAAACCAUUUUUAAUAGUACGCACACAUGUUUUGCAUGUUCAUAAGUUUUGCCAUCUCAUGCCAACUAAGAUUGACAAUUAGAACUGUUGAAUAGAUCGGUUAGACUAAAUCUAAUUUGUGUGACUAAGAAAUCAGACCGAUCUAAUCAUUCUCACAAUCGGUCUAGAAAGUCAAUUAAUAUAUUAUUAUACAAUUGGGUCGUAGUCAAUCCUCAUCAUCCAGCAUCUAAUAAUAAUUAUUAUUUGUUUUAUAUAUUUGGAUGAUAUUACUUUGAAUGAAUGAUUGGGGUUUGAGUCGGUAUCAAUUCAUUUCACAUGUCCUCGGCAAAUCAUUCAACGUACUGAUGGAAUUAUGGCUGGGCCGUCUUACUUGAUGGCCUAAUGGGCCUUCUUUUAGGCUUGAUAUUACCAUUUCACUAAGUCAUGCUACGACCUCGAGAGUCGCAAAAACCUUCGAAUCCAUCGGGGCAUGCCACGUGAGGACGAACUGACGACUUCUACCCUAGAACUCUCGGAGGUCGACUCGUUGACCUCAAGAGGGGACCGGUUUGAGGAAGAUGAAGAAGACCAAGACAUCACGACCUUAAGUUCGAUGACCAAAAGGGAUAGUCCGAGGUGUAAAACAGGAAUGCAGAGGCUGAGUGAUACCCCAUCGUCACAUAGAAAGGGGUUUAUAAGGAGGAAGCCCAUCACCACAAGGUGACGUUUGGCCUCCCCUAGGUAAGAAAUAGUGGCGGCAUUUAAUGAUAGCAUAUCCUACUAUAUUUGCCAACCUCUAUCGCCCGAAAACUCUCGCCAAAACCCAUGAUGCAUCGUCAAAGGUUUCCCACCAAAGGCUACGAUGCGUCAUCUUUGGUUAAAUUAGCGAGCAGCAUCUCGAUGAACUAGUCUAGCUUGUGCCCAAGUUGGGUACCUCGGUUAGCAGAUCCAGUCCUUACUUGAGUCGUGCAUCUCGGCCAUCAUCGCUCAAGCAGCAUCUCAACGAACCAAUUCAGCCUAUGCCCAAGUUGGGUAACUUGGUCAGUAAGUCUAGUCCCUGCCCGAGUUGUGCAUCUCGGCCAAUCAUCGCUCGAGCAGCGUCUCAAUAAACCAGUUCAACCUAUGCCCAAGUUGGGUACAUAGGUCAGUAGGACCAGUCCUUUCCCGAGUCGUGCAUCUCGGCCAAUCAUUGCUUGAGCAACGGCUCGACAAACCAGUCCAACCUGUGCCCAAGUUGGGUACCUUGGUCAACAAGUCCAAUCCCUACCUGAGUUGUGUACCUCGGCCAAUCAUCACUCAAGCAGCAUUUCGACGAACCUCCUCCCCAAUCUCAACGCAAUGAAUGACCCAAUUGACAGAAGGGACCGGGGUAGAGAGAAUGAUAGGAUAUAUUCUGGCAUCAUCACAUGGACGCGGUUAGCUACCAUGAUAGCACAAAUAUGAAGCUUCGAGACUGAGAUAGAGCAUCGUGUCAGAUGCCCCACCUUAGAUUCAGGAGAACAGCGACCCCUUCUCGCGCCAUCUGAAAUUAUACAAGGCAAUCACUCCGAAAAGCCAGGAGUGAUGCCGCCUUCCCCUGUCAUCCGAAGUUGUACAAGGCAACACUAUGUGGAAUGGAGCUGCUCUGGGAAGCUUGGAGCAGCGCUUUGCGGUGCCAUUCCGUACAGGGUAACCGGUGCUCGCGCACUGGUACAAGUCGACCGCCUAAAGAGCUGGUCGCCAUCAUCCGAUCAAGUACGGUCAACCCCCGCUUGAUGGUAUAAAGUCUACUAAUCCUCAUCAAGUAAAAAACGAUAGAUUCUAAGAACUCCAUUCAACACUAACUUAAACUUCGGAUGGUCGAGUCGGAAAAUCUCCCUCUCGCCCUUGACCUAUAUGUAGGAACUCGACAACGAAACAACAGUAACCCGACCCGACGUCGAAGUGACCUGAGCAUCCGUGUGGACAUUUCUGACAUCUCGAUCAUGACGUAAACGUUCACCAACAAAUAAUAUUUUCAGUGUAUUGCAUGGAGAGAUCAGCUGUGAUCAUUUCUGAUGUGCUUCAUUAGGUAAGAUGUUACCCUAUAUGAAGAGAGGGAAAGGUCAACAAGGAUGCAUAUGCAUGCAUCUUGCAUCCCUUUCGUUCAACACCCGACAUUGAAUGGCAAACACUGUUCACUUUGGCCAAUCUUCUGCUGCAUGCACUGAGAAUGAUUUAGUGAGGGUGUCUUCAGGAUUUGUAACUCUGCACCUACGAUUCUACGUUAAAUCAAAUUCAUCCCACAUGGAAACCACCAUCAGAUCAUUCUCCCUAUUACAAGCCCUUCAAUUGACCUUCUUGGGAACCCAAGAACAAGCCUGGACCUUUCCUUGGUUCUACUUCGGCUCCGGAACUAUCUUUUUUCCUCUCCUAUCGCUUGACUAAGAUCGAUCUAAUGUGUACUGUUUCCAUGUCUGGGACAGGAGGAGGAACGAAGAUGAAGGGACACCUAACAGUGGAAGUUGGCCUCCAGAACGAAGAAGGAGAUGGUGGGUUGCAGAAGCUCACGAUGCCUG
rnacentral:lncRNA from 1 species